rnacentral:tRNA from 1 species
GCCGCUAUAGCUCAAUUGGCAGAGCAACUGAUUUGUAAUCAGUAGGUUGGGGGUUCGAUUCCCUCUAGCGGCACCU